AGUGAACGCUGGCGGUAGGCCUAACACAUGCAAGUCGAACGGCAGCACAGUAAGAGCUUGCUCUUACGGGUGGCGAGUGGCGGACGGGUGCGGAAUACAUCGGAAUCUACUUUUUCGUGGGGGAUAACGUAGGGAAACUUACGCUAAUACCGCAUACGACCUACGGGUGAAAGCAGGGGAUCUUCGGACCUUGCGCGAUUGAAUGAGACGAUGUCGGAUUAGCUAGUUGGCGGGGUAAAGGCCCACCAAGGCGACGAUCCGUAGCUGGUCUGAGAGGAUGAUCAGCCACACUGGAACUGAGACACGGUCCAGACUGCUACGGGAGGAAGCAGUGGGGAAUAUUGGACAAUGGGCGCAAGCCUGAUCCAGCCAUACCGCGUGGGUGAAGAAGGCCUUCGGGUUGUAAAGCCCUUUUGUUGGGAAAGAAAAGCAGCAGGUUAAUACCCCGCUGUUCUGACGGUACCCAAAGAAUAAGCACCGGCUAACUUCGUG
rnacentral:rRNA from 1 species